rnacentral:rRNA from 1 species
GAAUUCGCCCUUAGAGUUUGAUCCUGGCUCAGGAUGAACGCUGGCGGCGUGCUUAACACAUGCAAGUCGAACGAGGGAUUUUGGAUGAGACUUCGGUGGAUUCCGGAAUACCGAGUGGCGGACGGGUGAGUAACGCGUGGGCAACCUGCCCUGUACAGGGGGACAACAGCUGGAAACGGCUGCUAAUACCGCAUAAGCGCACGGUAUCGCAUGAUACAGUGUGAAAAACUCCGGUGGUACAGGAUGGGCCCGCGUUGGAUUAGGUAGUUGGUGAGAUAACAGCCCACCAAGCCGACGAUCGGUAGCCGGACUGAGAGGUUGAUCGGCCACAUUGGGACUGAGACACGGCCCAGACUCCUACGGGAGGCAGCAGUGGGGGAUAUUGCACAAUGGGGGAAACCCUGAUGCAGCGACGCCGCGUGAGGGAAGACGGUUUUCGGAUUGUAAACCUCUGUCUUUGGGGACGAAAAAAUGACGGUACCCAAGGAGGAAGCCACGGCUAACUACGUGCCAGCAGCCGCGGUAAUACGUAGGUGGCAAGCGUUGCCCGGAAUUACUGGGUGUAAAGGGAGCGUAGGCGGGGAGACAAGUUGAAUGUUUAAACUAUCGGCUUAACUGAUAGUCGCGUUCAAAACUAUCACUCUUGAGUGCAGUAGAGGUAGGCGGAAUUCCUAGUGUAGCGGUGAAAUGCGUAGAUAUUAGGAGGAACACCAGUGGCGAAGGCGGCCUACUGGGCUGUAACUGACGCUGAGGCUCGAAAGCGUGGGUAGCAAACAGGAUUAGAUACCCUGGUAGUCCACGCCGUAAACGAUGAUUACUGGGUGUGGGGGGGACGGACCCCUUCCGUGCCGGAGUUAACACAAUAAGUAAUCCACCUGGGGAGUACGACCGCAAGGUUGAAACUCAAAGGAAUUGACGGGGGCCCGCACAAGCAGUGGAGUAUGUGGUUUAAUUCGAAGCAACGCGAAGAACCUUACCAGGUCUUGACAUCGAGUGACGAACUUAGAGAUAAGUUUUUCCUUCGGGACACAAAGACAGGUGGUGCAUGGUUGUCGUCAGCUCGUGUCGUGAGAUGUUGGGUUAAGUCCCGCAACGAGCGCAACCCUUAUCAUUAGUUGCUACGCAAGAGCACUCUAAUGAGACUGCCGUUGAUAAAACGGAGGAAGGUGGGGAUGACGUCAAAUCAUCAUGCCUCUUAUGACCUGGGCUACACACGUACUACAAUGGUGAUAAAACAGAGGGAAGCAACACAGCGAUGUGAAGCAAAUCCCGAAAAAUCAUCUCAGUUCAGAUUGCAGGCUGCAACUCGCCUGCAUGAAGUCGGAAUUGCUAGUAAUCGCGGAUCAGCAUGCCGCGGUGAAUACGUUCCCGGGCCUUGCACACACCGCCCGUCA